AGUAAAUCAGAGGGCUCUUCGGCUUUAUCCCAGCGUCCUUCUGGCCCCGAGACGGCUGGAGCAGAUGUUGGAGCCCGGGACAAAAUGGAUUUCCCCCUGCCGAGAGCAGCUUUUCUUGCCCUUCUUAAUGGAGGCUCCUUGAAAUGCUAAUGCCAUCACAUUACUGCAGCGGUGGUCCGGCAUAGUGAUGGUGGGAACAAAAAGCCACCCUUUUGUCACUGGAAAUAUACUUCACUUCAUUAGGAGAACUGCCAGCUAGCUUGUGGUCCAAGAUAGCAAGUUGAUGACUCACUCAUGGGCCUUGCUGGACCAACCAAUGUCAAGUUCAUUUGGGCCAUGCCAUGGGAUCAGAUGGGCACUCCGAAUGCUGUGGAACCAAAAGAAGCUAACUAGCACCCCCUUUUGAAAGAGAAAAACAGCAUUUCAUCCUUGGACUCGUCUGCUCGUCUGAUCCAUUUCUGACUUGGCCAGCACUCCACGUGGGAAGGAGGAGGGAAGCGCGAAAGAAGUCUUUGAAAUGCUGGAGUUCCAUGAAGAAUUCAGAAGCAGGAUGGAUUCAAAGGCUUCUGCUGGAGGAAAGGAAGGAAGUGGAGAAACAAAACUUGGGUGAGUCUGCUUGUCGAGAAACAAAGAGCAUGAGUAUCUGAUUUUCAUUGUGACACUUCUUAGCUAGCAUGUAAAAAAGUAUUCAAAGGUUUGUUUACCUCUUCUCAUUUUCAACAACCUGGCAAAAGCUUCACCAGAAAAAUACAAAAGAAAGAACGUUCCUCUCAUCCUGACAUCAUAUGAUGUCCAAGCUGCCCUCUCGGUGCUUGGCAAACAACUCAAACUUUUGAUCAUGACAAUACUUUAUGUUGUUAGAGCCUCAUUUUUAUGACAUUCUUGCUUGUUUUUAAUCAGUGCAUCAAAAUGUUUAUUCGUUUGUGGCCAAUUCAAUCAUUAAUCAUUUAUCCUCAAUCUCACUGUAUUCAGCAUUCUGAUCUUUUUAUUUUUGAAAACUGCAAGUCAGUAAAUGACUUAACAUGUUUCAAAAAAAAAAUGAUGGAAAUGGAUUUUAUGUUCGUGCCUCCGCCUAUAUUUGCAGCGAUGGUGGCAGCUGAAGACCAUUCUGUCCAGGUGGCCUUGAGAACGCCAUGACUUUACA